AAAAAAAAAAUUAAAGAUAAAACCUAAGGAAACAAAACUCUUAUCUUUUUCGCCCUUCUCUAUCUCUGACGGCGUUCUACCAAAGCUCUGUCUCUAAGGCUCCUCUGAAUCUCCCAUCUUUGAAGUUCUCAUCUCUGCUAGGUUAUUCGUUGCUGUUCCAAUUAUUGAAAUUUUUGGAUUCGAUACAGCUCGAUUGAUCAAAGCACCAACCAUCGCAUUCUUUGCUCUGUUAAAGGGUUAAGCAACAGGUCAAUUGCAUUGCACUUGAUUUACUGUGCGCCAUGAGUUAACGAAUGCAGAGAAAUUUUAUUUUAUUUUUAUUUUUUCACCUUAAAUAGCAUCAUGAUGAAUUAAAUUCUGAUCAGCUUUAUUGUUGCCUUCGUUGAGUACUCCAAUUGAUGGGCUGGUCAAAUAUCUCUUUGAAUUCAAUUCUUCUGAAUACUUAGACUGUGGGUUGCAGGUUUCUGUUUGGGAUUUCACUCUCUGAUAGGCCUGUGUGGCAACAAUUCAUUAUUUGCUCUUCUGGGUUGUUCUUUGGCUACCUUGUCAAUUGUGUCUGUGAGAAGUAAAGGCAGCAAAUUAAAAAUAGAGAAACAAAAAAGAAUAGUCUACUUAAUUGCGAGGUGUUAAGGGGUUUUGUUCUAUAGAUUAGGUGGCUUUCUAUUGGACUUCUUAUUUGCUCAUAAAAAGUGCUGCGCAAAACAGUGGAUUGCUAUCUUACACAUUUUUGAAGACCACAGGAAAGAAGACAUUUAUUUUUGAUUUUGAAUUGUUGAGAGCACAAGGAUCGCUAAGUUGGUUUUGUUAUUGGUUUUAGACUAUUUUUGUUACUCCUUAGGUUAGGAAACACUUUGAUUGUUACUUUGGUUUUAUUAUUAUGAGAUUUA